UGUGUUUUCGAUCAUCAAAAUUUUGCUUGAAGUCAGCAGUCAGGGGUCUGCUGGGUCUUGCAUCAUCACAAUGACAUGGUAAUUUACUGGACAAACAAAAAGAACUGCUGUGACUGACCUUUCCCUGAACAGCCCUAGAGCUGUAAAAGAUUAAGUUUGAAAUGGGAAAUUUAGCAUGAAUACAGUGGUCCUCACUCAGGGGCAAAUCCACAGUCCUCACUCAGCUCCAAACCCCAAAGCUUAUUGCCCUGAAGGAGUUGCCUUCUGUAUUUGGAGACUGGGAUUUGAGAGUAUCCAAGGGGUCUUCGUGGGAAGAGAAAACAAUAUGGACAGCUGGGGAUGGAGAAAGACUCCCACUUCUCUGACAGACUCCUUCCUCCCCACUGCUGCUACUUCUCUUCGUCCUCAGGGGGCUGUUGAACCUCUGUGUUAGAAGCCUUUCCCUUCUUCCCUGCAUAUG